rnacentral:misc_RNA from 1 species
UGGUUCUGGCAUCGAUGAAGAACGCAGCGAAAUGCGAUAAGUAAUGCGAAUUGCAGAGCAGUGAGUCAUCGAAUCUUUGAACGCACAUUGCGCCCUUUGGCAUUCCGGAGGGCAUGCCUGUCCGAGCGUCAUUAACAACCCUCAAGCCUGGCUUGGUGUUGGACCGUGCUUAAUUCGUUAAAGACGGUCCCAAAGAUAAUGGCGGAGUCGUGUUGGACCCGAGAUGCAACGAGCUUUUUAAGCACGCAUUAGAGGGCCGGGCGACCUGGUCUUACCUAAAUUUUCUCAAGGUUGACCUCGGAUCAGGUAGGGAUACCCGCUGA